rnacentral:lncRNA from 1 species
CGGGCUUUAGGCCAGGUCAUAAACCAAACCUGCCUCCACCAUGCAGAGAGACGCCCUCUCCUGAUUCCCCCACCCUCAGGAAUGAGGAGGAUGUGACUGGCGGAAGGCCAUGCUAGAGAAGACGCAGAAAUGGAAAGGCCAGCUCUGUCUUUCACUCUGGGGGAGUGUGGGGAGGAGGACAACUGACAGACAUGUCCCCCCUUUCUGUCCUCUUCAGGUGAAACCCAGAGGUGGUAAAAAUGCCCAGGUAUGUUUGAGGCAGCAGAGAAGACUGCCGGGAGAGUGGAGAAGGCUGAAGUCUUACUUAAGAAACUCAGCAUGUGGUCCUGUCCCACACGGUUUAGGCAGCAGCAAGCUGCUGUUGGACAGGUGGUGCUGAUGCUGCUGGACUGGGGACAGGUCGAGGCCGUGGAUCCAGGCAGUAUUGCUUCCAAACAGCUGUGGAAUAUUGAACACAUCACUGUCUCCGGCGUUGGCUUAUCUUGAAACUAAAUGUCAGCCUGAGUUUUGGAGACAAAUGGAUAUGGACUUGAAACCCUGCUCCUCCAUUAAUUAGCUAUACGACGUUCCUUCUUCUGCCCCAUCACAAAAUGGAAAUAAUAGUACACAGCAAACAGGGUAAUUACAAAGAUUAUAUGAGAUAGGGUAUAUAUGUCAUUCAACAUGUUGUUCUGGUUAUUUCCUGCUCAGAAAGUGUAUUAAAUGGGAUUAUAUACGUGAGCAUGUAAUUUGAAGCAAAAGAAAUAAGAAUUUCCACAAAAUAAUUCUGUCAAGAUUCCCCAGUGCCAGUGUAUUAGUUAUCUAUUGCUGCAUAUAACAAAUUAUCCCCCAAAUGUAGUGACUUAAAACAACAGGAACUAAUUAUCUCACAGUUUCUGUGGGUCAGAAAUAAGGGUGCAGCUUAGCUGGUGUCUCUGGCUCAUCGUCUCUCAUGAGGUUGUAGUAAAGCUGCCAGAGCUGCAGUCUCAUCUGAAGGUUCGACUGGGGCAUUGGGGAACCCAUUUCUUCUUGUUCUUUUUUUAUUUUUUUAUUGUGGUAAGAUAUACAUAAAAUUUACUAUUUUAACCAUGUUUAAGUGUAGAGCUCUGUGGCAUUAAGCACAUUCACAUUUUUGUGCAACCAUCACCUCCAUCCACCUCUAGAACUUUUUCAUCUUCUCCAACUGAAACUUUGUACCCCUUAGAUAUUGACUCCCCAUUCCCACCUCACCCCCCAGCCCCUAGCAACUAUCAUGUUACUCUCAGUCUCUAUGAAUUUGACUAUUCUAGGUACCUCAUACAAGUGGAGUCAUACAAUAUUUGUCUUUUUGUGACUGGCUUAUUUCACUUAGCAUAGUGUCCAUCUUGUAGUAUGUGUCAAAAUUUCCUUUAGGGCUGAAU